GACGAACGCUGGCGGCGUGCUUAACACAUGCAAGUCGAACGGAAAGGCCCCUUUGGGGGUACUCGAGUGGCGAACGGGUGAGUAACACGUGAGUAACCUGCCCUUGACUUCGGGAUAACUUCAGGAAACUGGGGCUAAUACCGGAUAGGAAUCCUUGCUGCAUGGUGGGGGUUGGAAAGCUUCGGCGGUUUUGGAUGGACUGGCGGCUUAUCAGGUUGUUGGUGGGGUAGUGGCUUACCAAGGCUUUGACGGGUAGCCGGCCUGGGAGGGCGACCGGCCACAAUGGGACUGGGAAACGGCCCAGACUCCUACGGGAGGCAGCAGGGGGGAAUAUUGCACAAUGGGCGGGAGCCUGAUGCAGCAACGCCGCGUGCGGGAUGACGGCCUUCGGGUUGUAAACCGCUUUCAGCAGGGGCGAAGCUGGUGGUGACGGUACCUGCAGAAGAAGCACCGGCUAACUACGUG
rnacentral:rRNA from 1 species